rnacentral:rRNA from 1 species
UACGUAGGGGGCGAGCGUUGUCCGGAUUUACUGGGCGUAAAGCGCGCGUAGGCGGAGCGUUAAGUCCGGUCCGAAAGCCCCCGGCUCAACCGGGGAAGGUGGCUGGAAACUGGCGUCUGGAGGGCGGCAGAGGCGUGUGGAAUUCCUGGUGUAGCGGUGAAAUGCGUAGAGAUCAGGAGGAACACCCGUGGCGAAGGCGGCACGCUGGGCCGGCCCUGACGCUGAGG